rnacentral:rRNA from 1 species
UACGUAGGGUGCAAGCGUUGUCCGGAAUUAUUGGGCGUAAAGAGCUCGUAGGCGGUCUGUCGCGUCGGCUGUGAAAACCCGGGGCUCAACCCCGGGCCUGCAGUCGAUACGGGCAGACUAGAGUGCGGUAGGGGAGACUGGAAUUCCUGGUGUAGCGGUGAAAUGCGCAGAUAUCAGGAGGAACACCGGUGGCGAAGGCGGGUCUCUGGGCCGUAGCUGACGCUGAGGAGCGAAAGCGUGGGGAGCGAACAGG